UUUCGCACCCGCUACGUCGCCCAACAACCACGACUUCAUCGCGGUUGCCACUCGGUGACCCGGCUCGGAUAUCCGCCACGUAGAACUGUUCGACCUGAAAAGGAAAGAUUUCAUCGAGUUGACUCGUCUGGUGUCGCCAAAGAGUCACCAUUUCAACCCGUUUCUCUCCCCUGAUUCGACACGGGUCGGAUACCACAGUUGCAGAGGGCAGGCCAACGGACAGACAACGUCUUCGCUUCUCCUCGAGAACAUCAAAUCAUCAUCGCCCGACCUUUCUCUCUUCAGAAUCGAAGGUGGGUUCCCGUCGUUUUCGUCGGCCGGUGACCGUAUCGCAUUCUUCACAUACACUGGUGUCUACGUCGUGAACGCUAGACAGCUGAAGUUGCCAAAAGACAAGCACGUGUGCGAGAAGCACCAUUCCCAGAAAAUGCCGCAAAUAUCCAAUUAGCAGAAGCAAGGAUGCACGAGUUGAAAGCGAAUAUGUCAGUUUUUGGAUCGGAAUGAGAAGUAUCACUCAAUAAAGUAAAGAGAGAAAUUGGUAAGGAGGUG